UUUGAAUCCUAACUUUCUCUGGUAUCUCUCUAGUUCUUGCUUAUCUUGAAAUGGUUCCAUAAUCUCAAUAAAGUAAAAUUGAUGUCUUUUCUGCAUAUUUGUUAGUCUAUGACCAUUUUUUGACUGUUCAAUGAUCUAAUGUUCCAUAUCAACGCAUUCAUUGAUACUUUAUGGGCUUUGCAAUUGUCCUCCUUGAUUGCCUAGAAUUAGCUUCUGCCACAGUUGUAUCUCCAGUCCCUUUACUCUUAUGUUUAAACUAUUGCUCCAUUAUUUUAUCCUUCUGCUUUGGUGAUAGAUCUCCUGCUAAAGCGGCAUCUUUAACAGUACCACUUAAAUUCUUUUAAUCUAUGUUGUCUACCAUCCUUAUGAAUAACGGUAAAGCCUCACUUAUCUGCUCUUCAAAAAUACUGAUAGAUUUCUUAUUUGCAUUAUUUUUUCAUCUUCUUUCUCCUUAGAUGGGGUUGUAUUUUCCUUAAUCUGUAUAGUUUCCCCCUUUUCCUCCAUAUCUUUGGGUAAAUGUUCGUCCUAUUUAGUUUUUCCUUUUUUAUUUUGUACUUUCUGUUUAACAUCUUUUUUCACCGAAUCUUCAUUUUCCUUUGAAUUUAGAAUUUCCAUUCCCUUUUCAGUUGCAUUGUCCUUACCAAAAACUUGAUUUACCCAUUUCUUUGUUUGUAUCUUCUUCUGAGAAUGCUCUGUAUGCUAUUAAUUAUCUUUUUUAUCCCUUAGAGAUUCGAAAGGGUUGUCAUCCUUAUACUCUAAUUCUCUUUCAAUAUGACCAUACCUAGCCUUCUUGUAUUUAUUUUUCCUUGUCAUCCAUUCCUUUUUUUAAUAGCAUUCAUCCCACUGUCACAGUUGUUGCAAUUUCUAUUAAUGUCUUCUUUUGUUCCCUUUUUCCCUCCUUUCUGUAUCUCUUUAUUCUUUUAUACCUUCUUUGAUUUAAAUAGUUCUUGAUGAAUUGACCAGAAAGUUACUUCAUCAUGCCCUUGUAAGCAACGUUAUUUAAAAUAUUUAGGCAUGUAGUCAUAUUGAAUCUUAAUCUAUUUAGAUUUAAUCUGCCCAGUAUCAUCAUCUUUCUCAUUGAUGCGCACUCUUUGAGGUAAUUUAGCUACCAAAUCCACUUCAAUCUUAACCAUGGAACAACUAGGUCUUGUUUGGUUCUUAUUAGCUAUGUCCACCAUUAAUGGUUUUCCAACU
rnacentral:lncRNA from 1 species